UUUCCGUAGGUGAACCUGCGGAAGGAUCAUUCAUAAUAAAGUGUUUUAUGGCACUUUUUAAAAAUCCAUAUCCACCUUGUGUGCAAUGUUAGAUCUCGUCAAUCUUGGCGAGAUUUUUAUACAUCAACUCAUUCUUUAACUAAUUUGUCUGAAUAAUAUUAUGAAUACUUAAUUCAAAAUACAACUUUCAACAACGGAUCUCUUGGCUCUC
rnacentral:misc_RNA from 1 species